CUAUUUUUAAAGGAAUUGGUUCCCAUGUUGUAAAUAGCAAAUUCCUCAGCUCAAUUUGACAUGGAAAUGUGAUUUCCUUUCCCAAGGCCCAAAGUGUUGUCUAUCCUGUUAUUUUAUUUAAGUGUUAACUCUCCCAGCCAUCCCUUUUCCUCUAACCCAAGGUGUGUUUUCCUAGAUAGGGACUCCUUUGAAGACCAGUUGAUAUGUAAAUGUGAUUGGUGCCUUUCAGGUGCU